AGUGUGGGACCAAAAACUGGACACAGUAUUCCAGAUGAGGCCUCACCAAUGUCUCAUAAAGGGGAACAAUCACGUUCCUCGAUCUGCUGGCAUGAGAGCAAAGGCCCAGGACAAUGGUGCAGUCGCCGGUUUUCCUAAGGGAAAAGGAUAAAAAGGGAGAGAGGAGAGACUGGAAGGGGAAACCAGGAACAACAAAAGGGGGAGGGUGGUUCCCAGAUCCCAGACCUGCCCAGAUCCAUUCCCUGCAUCCCCCUGGGAACAAGGGGAGGAGCUGAGAGAGGAAAAGCCACUUCCUGACAUGGCUGAACACCGCACUACUUGGGGGGGGAAGGGGAGAGUUAGAGGGGUGACACAACAAUGUCAGGGGGAAUCCCCCAAGGUGGCUCCUUUGGUUCUGCUCUUUUUCCAGCAUUGGGUUCAGAGACUCUCUUAUGGGGAGAGUUUAAAAGUGCCCCGUGGGGUUUAGUUACGCUGGGAGGGCCCUGGCCUGGGUGGUAAUGAACUAACUGGGUUUCUUUCCAGCGUGGAAGAGUCCAGAACGUCUGUCUGCAGGGAGAGAGCCUGGGGGCAAUCGGGCUGUGACAUGCACUCAAGCCCCUUCUGAAACCUUCCCAAUCGCCCCGACAAGCUGAGGAAUCACAUCCAGAUUUCACUAAAGAUCGUCCCUUCUUCCAGGUGACAGGGAAGAGAAAUGGCUGUGAUGGAGUCAACUCAGUUGCCGGUGACCUUCGAGGAGGUGGCUGUGUAUUUCACCCAGGGGCAGGGAGCUCUGCUGGACCCCAGUCAGAGAGCCCUCUACAGGGACGUCAUGCAGGAGAACUAUGAGAUGGUGACCUCGCUGGGUAAGGGAUUCCUGUCCCCUCGGUUAUUAGAAGCCAUGAGGUCUUCAUUUCUGACUCUGGUCAGGUUCUUCCCUGGUCAGUUAGAUUGGAGGGGAAUGGGUUCCAUAAUACGCAGCUGCCACGUGAGAGGGACUUUCAUUGGGAAACAGGUAUCAAAACCUAAUGGACAUGCGAAACCAAGCCCACCACUCCAGCAUUCGGGGGGCAGGGGGACUUAGAAGUCAUUCAUUGUCCUGUCUGUAUUGUUUCUUACUGAUGCACAAAAUCCCUCUUCAUUUCCCUUCUUGGGAAUAGCUCCAGCCCUGGGGAAGACUGUGGGCUCUGCAGAUUUAGAAAUAGGAAAUGGUCUAACUCCAGAGCUGUGUGCGCGUCAGCAAGGCCCAACAGCACAUAGAUCCUGGGAACUCCUUGUGAGGGCGUAAAAAUUCCCCCCACCUCCCCAGACGUCUGCUUCUCCCAAGAGGCCUCAGUGAUCAUGUUCCCGUGCUGUUGGAUUCCAUGUUCCCCCAGCAGAUCAUGGUGAGAGGUACCACUCCAGAAUGCCCUUUGUGACAGACAAUCUUCCAAUCCUCCAUGUGCCCCGACCUUGUCUCUUUUCACUCCCUGUUCAGGAUUUCCCAUUCCCAAACCUGAACUGAUCUCCCACCUGGAACGAGGGGAAGAACUGUGGGUCCCGGAUCUCCAGGUCUGGGAGGAAAGAGAGAUCCUGAGAGGCAAUCGCACAGCAGGUGAUGAGACAGUAGAUGAGAAGAAGGAGGGGAAUCAUCAUGAGGAAGUUCCUAGGGAAGUGGAACCACAGGGGACCUUUGUGGGAAGAGCUGAUGGGAGUUUAUCCCAGUGCUUGGAAGAGGGAGAAAACUGGGGAAAUUGGCAGAAGUCAGAGAGGCGACUGAAAAACCACCGAAAGAAGAAAGUGGAUGAAUAUUUUAUAGACCAAUCCUAAGGAAGAGAAACCCUAUCAGUGCCUCGAAUGUGGAAAAG